rnacentral:tRNA from 1 species
AAGGCAAUAGCUCAGUGAUAGAGCCCCCGCUUCGCUUUCAGGGAGACCCGGGUUCGAUUCCCGGCUGCUUCC